rnacentral:misc_RNA from 1 species
GAUGAAGAACGUAGCGAAAUGCGAUAAGUAAUGCGAAUUGCAGAAUUCCAGUGAGUCAUCGAAUCUUUGAACGCACAUUGCGCCCUUUGGUAUUCCGAAGGGCAUGCCUGUUCGAGCGUCAUUAUCACCCCUCAAGCCCUCGGCUUGGUGUUGGACGGUUUGGUGGAGGCCCCCUCGGGGGCUCCUGCCCCUCCCAAAGACAAUGACGGCGGCCUCGUUGGACCCCCGGUACACUGAGUUCUUCAUGGGACACGUAUCGGACACAUGGGUUUACGGGACACGGUCUGCCUCCCCUCAGGGAGAAUCUUUCUAAGGUUGACCUCGGAUCAGGUAGGGAUACCCGCUGAACUUAAGCAUAUCAAUAAGCGGAGGA